CUCUCGUGUCGCUAACGUGUAUUUCCUUGUUGAAGUGAAACUUCGAUAGGCGCAGAGGUUAGGGACUAAGCUGCGACGCAAAAAUGCGAUUGACAAUAGAUUGUCGUUUAAACCAGAGGAACAGAUACACCCCAGUUUAAUCUCAUCUCAACUGGGCCAGACCAGUAUAUUGGUGGUUUGAUAAGCUGUAAAUGACAACUUUUCCAAAUUUUUUUUCAGCGCAAAUGAUCCAAAGUACAUUAUGAAAAUUAUUAUUAAUACUGUAGAUAAUAAUACAUUGGUUAUCCAGUCAUAAACUGAUGAUCUGUAUGGGGGUUAAAUUUCAGUCCACCUCCGCAAUAGGUGAAAUUCGUCAAAUCGAAACCCUGUUUAAGGACAGCCUAGGUAUGUUUUUGUUGCGUUUACGGCAAUUCCAUUUUUUGGAAAUGCCCGUAAACACACCUAAAACAACACAAACACAAUUUAUUGAGAGAGAGCAAAAGCAAUGGAUAACACAAAAAUAUUUUACAAACCGUAUAAAAAAAUAGAAUAACAAUUUUAAUCAGAAUAAGCACUAUAUACUGUAAUUUCUCAUUUAUAAUGCACACCCAUGUAUAAUGCGCACUCCCAAAGUUGACCCCAAAAUUCUGGAAAACCCUUCUACCUAUGUAUAAUGCAUUUUUACAAUGCAUGAUUUUGCUUCUACCCAUAUGAUCAAAACAUGAAGUAUUAUCUGUAUUUUGUUAGCUUUUUUUCAAAGAAUUAUUCUAAAGUUAAGCACUUUAUUUGAACACGUAAUACUUUCAUUUUAUUUACUAGCCCUUAUUUUGAAGUUCACGGUCUUACUUUUAUUUAGUAGAUGAGAAAACAAACAGUUGUGCUCAUAUGUUUGAUUACACCGGCACAAUUUGUAAGAUGGGUACAAUUGUCGUGCUUCUCCUGGCUCUUCAUAUUUUAUUUUAAUGGGAUUCAAAUUAACAUUUCAGAAAAAAACAUUUGCAUCAAACAAAACAUAACCAUAAAGAAAUGAAUGAUGGUUGUUGUUUAGUCAUCAGUCGUAUUUAUAAAAACAAUCUUUCACAAAUUCUGCCAGGGUAUGUAAACUUACCGUGAUUUCUCAUGUAUACUGUGCCAUAACCUAUAGAUUUAUUAUUUAUAAAAUGGGAAAGUUUUUUUAAAAAUCAUUUUCCCCUAUACCCAUGUAUACUGUGCCAUAACCUAUAGAUUUAUUAUUUAUAAAAUGGGAAAGUUUUUUAAAAAAUCAUUUCCCCCUAUACCUAUGUAUAAUGCGUACCAUGCGCAUGAUUUUUAAAACAAAUUUUUUUGGGGGAAAUGUGCAUUAUACACGAGAAAUUACGGUAGUUUGUACUUCUCAGUGGGAAGUUCCCACUGGGAGCACUUAUUACGCCAUUAUGAAACAAAACAAAGGUUUUGAACUAGACUUUCCACCGAUUUGUAUCGGCCUUAUCGGUACCGGCCGAUAAUUAGCACUUUAUGCUGAUCGGCUUUAAUGUCAUAAUUGGCCGAUCCCAUCAAGGACGUCAUUGAUCGGCGUGUGCCCGAUGCAACAAAGCGGCCCUAGAACAUAACAGAGCCUCCGCCAUGUUUCGCAAUCGGGACCGUGUUCUUUUCUUGGUUUACUUCGGUUUUGCGUCGGUGGACACAGAUCUAAUGUGCCUUCUUUUCAAAAUGUUCCAGUUUUGUGUCGUUUGUCCGUAGGACAUUCUCCCAGUUGUAUUCCAAUCUCGAUUUUUAUGAUAUACCCUGCGGUCCAUUUGAACUCGGAAGUCCGACUUUCCAAAUUCUUAGUUGGAAAUUCACAUGGAACGCCUUCUGAAGUUGGAUUUCCCACUCAUCAAGUCGGAGGUUUUUCCACUGACCCCGAGUUGGCUUUCAAAGAUGGCUGCUGCGAGUGUCGACGGCUGCAGACCCCAAUAUGAGAGGGACUACACAGCUGUGGUUCCAUUUCCUAUUUCCUGACGAGGUUUUCCUGCCUCUUGUACUGAGGGAGCGACUGAAGAUGAAUUAGACCGGGAGUUUAAUGACUGCAUCCCAGAGCUGAAACGGGUAGAGGAGGCGCAGGAAAUCUGGCAGCUGUUGUCCAGCAAGACCCUCAACCAAGUCCCUCCAAAGACCCUCGAACGGCCGAAUUUGUAACAUAUUUUGUUAAUAAAGACACUAAAUCAG